UAAUGUAAGUGCUGACAUCCCUCAUGCAUUUUUGUCACACCCAUUCCUAACAUCCUAUUAUACUACAGUAAUACAGAUCACGAUGGUGGAGAAUCCAUAACCAAUUCAAAAUAUCUACAUUGGUCCAAUGAAACAUAGAAACUUCAGUUAUUCAAGAGAGUCAAUACAAAGUCCAAUCUCUUGCUUCACAAAAUGAUGCGGAUAUUUCCAUUUCCUCCCGGAAUAAAAUUUACGUAUCCUUAUCAUAA